AGCCCAGCUACCUAACAAACUACACGCCUUCUCCACCCCCUACCCCUACCCCCCCCCCCCUCCCCCCUCUUCUUUAACCUUCAUUUUACUCACAUACCUUCUUGAAUCUCUUCUUCCUCAACAAACAUUUAGGAAGAAGGGAGGGCUGAGAUCUUUGCACGUGUCCCAAUAAUCUUCUCCAUUGAUCAAGAGGAAAGAUGUGAGGAGAACAAAAAAUGAAAUUAUCAAACUUUUAUUUUUAUGUACUAGUGGAUGAUCCGACCCAAUGGUUUCAAGAUAUCUUCAUAUAGGAAAAUGACCCUUUUGUCCUCGGUAACCCAGAAAACAGCUCAUGAAACUGAGGGAGAGAGCAAAGUUGAUUGUUACCAAUGAUUGAUUGACUUCUUUUAUAUAAUAUAACUUCUUUUAUAUGAUAAAGUGUUAAUAUAAUAUAUAUUGGCAUAUAUGCUUUUGUUUUCUUGUGUA